AGAGUUUGAUCCUGGCUCAGAUUGAACGCUGGCGGCAUGCUUUACACAUGCAAGUCGAACGGUAACAGGGAGCUUGCUCCGCUGACGAGUGGCGAACGGGUGAGUAAUAUAUCGGAACGUACCCAAGAGUGGGGGAUAACGUAGCGAAAGUUACGCUAAUACCGCAUACGAUCCAAGGAUGAAAGCAGGGGACCGCAAGGCCUUGUGCUCCUGGAGCGGCCGAUAUCUGAUUAGCUAGUUGGUAGGGUAAAGGCCUACCAAGGCAUCGAUCAGUAGCUGGUCUGAGAGGACGACCAGCCACACUGGAACUGAGACACGGUCCAGACUCCUACGGGAGGCAGCAGUGGGGAAUUUUGGACAAUGGGCGCAAGCCUGAUCCAGCAAUGCCGCGUGAGUGAAGAAGGCCUUCGGGUUGUAAAGCUCUUUUGUCAGGGAAGAAACGGGUGAGGCUAAUAUCCUCAUCUAAUGACGGUACCUGAAGAAUAAGCACCGGCUAACUACGUGCCAGCAGCCGCGGUAAUACGUAGGGUGCAAGCGUUAAUCGGAAUUACUGGGCGUAAAGCGUGCGCAGGCGGUUUUGUAAGUCUGUCGUGAAAUCCCCGGGCUCAACCUGGGAAUGGCGAUGGAGACUGCAAGGCUAGAGUCUGGCAGAGGGGGGUAGAAUUCCACGUGUAGCAGUGAAAUGCGUAGGGAUGUGGAGGAACACCGAUGGCGAAGGCAGCCCCCUGGGUCAAGAUUGACGCUCAUGCACGAAAGCGUGGGGAGCAAACAGGAUUAGAUACCCUGGUAGUCCACGCCCUAAACGAUGUCUACUAGUUGUCGGGUCUUAAUUGACUUGGUAACGCAGCUAACGCGUGAAGUAGACCGCCUGGGGAGUACGGUCGCAAGAUUAAAACUCAAAGGAAUUGACGG
rnacentral:rRNA from 1 species